AUCUCCACAAAAAGCCCUUAUAAACUCUCUAUCUAUUCCUACUCCUGCCUUCCUCCCAAAUCCUUUAACCACAGAUGAUGUUCAUCCAUGAAACUCAUCAGAAAUUUCCAGAUCUGUAUAGUUGCUGAUCAUGGAUCAUUCCAUUUUCAGAUCUUUACAUGAAUGGUGUAGAUUGAUUCAAUUAAAGAUUGAUCUUCGCUUCUCCUCGAAGAAGAAAGUGAAAAUUGAGAGCAAUUGGGAAGAUGUUAGCAGAUUAUAUCUAUGAAGUCUCCUUUCAAGAGUUCUCUUUUACUUUCGAUCAAACCUCCUAUCCAGGGGCGGAACUACAGUGUUAUAUGGGGAAAGAGUUUGGACGAAUUCAAUUACUUUUGUGUAACUUCUAUAUUUGUAUUAGAAAAUCGAAUAACUAUACAGAAUAUUUUACAUAAUUGGAUGAUUCAUUGGUAAGUAAGAGGCUACCACAUUAAUCAAUAUUUUCUCCUUUUCAGCAA